AUGGGUGCUGAAGAACACAACUUACAACUCAGUCCCAAACUACCAGCACCUAAACUAGUUAGAGAUGAAGAACCGCUUGAAGAAAGGACCGCCCUUGAAGCUCGAAACACCGGCGCCAAAGAAAACAUCAGCGACAAUGGCAAUCUUCUGGACAUGGUAUUUUCAGCUAAUUCUUCGGCUGUUUGGAAAGGUAUUGAAUAUGGCCUACAACUAGUGAAAAAUGGUUUUAUUUGGAGAAUCGGUAACGGCUCUAUGGUGCAUACAUGGAGUGAUCCUUGGAUCCCAAGAGAUAAUGAUCUUAGACCGAUUACUCCGAAAAGGAAUUGUCGCUUUAAUCAUGUUUCAGACUUUCUGUUCAACCAUGGUGGAUGGAACAUGGAGCGUCUCCAACAACAUUUUUGGGAUGUAAAUGUGCAGCAAAUUCUGAGAAUACAUACAUCUCCGAAAGGCCGGGAAGAUUUUAUUGCCUGGUUUUCGGAAAAGUCUGGACAAUUUACUGUUAAGAGCGCCUACAAACUCGCUACUAGAGAACAUGACGAUUCAUUUGCAGGAGGGGCUUCAAGUAUGUGUCCAGAGGGAGAUCGAUCCAUAUGGAAUUAUGUUUGGCGGGCUAAAGUUCCUCUUAAAAUGUGUAUUACAGCUUGGAAGGCUGCGUCAGGUGCUCUAGCCACUGAUCAAAACAAGUUAUACCGACAUAUUGGUACUACUGAUUGCUGCAGGUGUGCGGCCGGAAGAGGGAAGGUUCUUACCAUGCCCUAG
rnacentral:rRNA from 1 species